rnacentral:misc_RNA from 1 species
CGAUCUGUUUUCUUGCGCGAAUUCGGUGUGCCGCGCACACGCCCUUACAUGCAGAUACAGUGCAGCUUUCACGCCGGUGUGCUACGCGUAUCAUCAAGGAGACAUGCCCGCACGUAAGCAAGAGUCGGAAGCGGUCAAGGCACUCUUCCACUACCCGUGCCACAGUUUCAUUGUGCGGUCUGCUCUGGAAGGGCACAUGGGACAGGUGACGGUUCGUGGCAGCAGCGCCGCGGCAACGCUGAGAGCCCGCAUCACCGUCGGCGUGUUCACUGUCCUCGCCGGUGCCCCCGACGCGGAACUUGUCAGCGGCAUCACAACCUCCCUUGUCGUUCCCGUCCAGCCUGAAUGGAUUCCGCUCAUUGAAGCGCAUUCGCCUGCCCUGAAGCCUUAUAUUCGCUACCCCAUGGUCACCGCGACAGGGUCAUUCGACGUGAGGCGUCUGCAACAGUAUGCGGCGGCGUGCCCUGCCGCCUACGUCAUCGAGCCCAUCACGGAGGCGCUAGCGGAGCGCACGCGGAAGAUGAAGUGGUCCUUCGACCUCUGCGGCAACUUCCGCGACGCCGCCGACUCCGCGGCGCGGGGAAUCGGCUUCGUCGCUCUGGAGAGGGCAACCGGCAACAUUGCAGCCGGUGCGUCCAGCUUUGCCAUCUGCGACGGAGGUGUUGAGGUGGAGGUGGACACGGCGGAAUCACAUCAACGUCGCGGCUUGGCGCUGGCGUGCUCUGCUCGGCUCAUCUUAGAGUGCCUGAAGCGUGGCCUAUAUCCAAACUGGGAUGCGCACGUGCCGCACUCGGCGCACCUGGCAGAGAAGCUCGGCUACACGCGGGGCACACCGUACAAGGCCUACGUUGAGGAGCUCCCAACAUGAAGAUUCACUCUCCCAUUGGCGCGUCUUUGCGUGCUGCGGGUAGGCCCUGCACUGCUCACCGCUUGUACGGCCCUGACUACCUUACGCAUGUGCCCCGGGAAAAGGCUGGAGGGGGGAAGUGGGCUAUCUGAGAACAGCAGCGGCCGCGGCGGCCGCUCACGUGCGGUGCCUUCGUCCCUUGUCACGUUUCCUUUUCUCCCGUUCUCUCCACAUCAUUCCUGCUCCCUUCGUGCGAGCUUGCGGUCUUGUGCGCUCAAACGAAACGGGCAUUCGCGAAUAAAG